UACGGAGGGUGCGAGCGUUGUUCGGAAUCACUGGGCGUAAAGCGCGUGUAGGCGGCCAAGCAAGUCGGGUGUGAAAGCCCUCGGCUCAACCGAGGAACUGCGCCCAAAACUACCGUGCUCGAGGAAGAUAGAGGUGAGCGGAACUUAGGGUGGAGCGGUGAAAUGCGUUGAUAUCCUAAGGAACACCGGUGGCGAAAGCGGCUCACUGGAUCUUUUCUGACGCUGAUGCACGAAAGCUAGGGUAGCGAACGGG
rnacentral:rRNA from 1 species